ensembl:rRNA 5S_rRNA 5S ribosomal RNA
GUCAGUAGCCAUAUCACCCUGCAACUCACAACUGGCAACCCACUGAAGCUAAGCAGGUGUGAGCCUGGUCAGUACCUGGAUGGGAGACCUCCUGGGAAAAACUAAGGUUGCUGCUGGAA